UGCAGUCGAACGAGACCUUCGGGUCUAGUGGCGCACGGGUGAGUAACGCGUGGAAACCUACCAUUCUGUACGGAAUAACGAUUGGAAACGAUCGCUAAUACCGUAUACGCCCUGUGGGGGAAAGGUCCGCCGCAGAAUGAGGGGUCCGCGUCCGAUUAGCUUGUUGGUGGGGUAAAAGCCUACCAAGGCGAUGAUCGGUAGCUGGUCUGAGAGGAUGAUCAGCCACACUGGGACUGAGACACGGCCCAGACUCCUACGGGAGGCAGCAGUGGGGAAUAUUGGACAAUGGGGGCAACCCUGAUCCAGCAAUGCCGCGUGUGUGAAGAAGGCCUUAGGGUUGUAAAGCACUUUCAAUGGUGAAGAUGAUGACGGUAGCCGUAAAAGAAGCCCCGGGCUAACUUCGUGCCAGCAGCCGCGGUAAUACGAAGGGGGCGAGCGUUGUUCGGAAUUACUGGGCGUAAAGGGCGCGCAGGCGGCCAAUCCAGUCAGGUGUGAAAGCCCCGGGCUUAACCUGGGAACUGCACUUGAUACUGAUUGGCUAAAAAACGGAAGA
rnacentral:rRNA from 1 species